rnacentral:rRNA from 1 species
UGGUUGACCUCGGAUCAGGUAGGGAUACCCGCUGAACUUAAGCAUAUCAAUAAGCGGAGGAAAAGAAACCAACAGGGAUUGCCUCAGUAACGGCGAGUGAAGCGGCAAAAGCUCAAAUUUGAAAUCUGGCUCUUUCAGGGUCCGAGUUGUAAUUUGUAGAAGAUGCUUCGGGUGUGGUCCCGGUCUAAGCUCCUUGGAACAGGACGUCAUAGAGGGUGAGAAUCCCGUAUGUGACUGGGUACCUACGCUCAUGUGAAGCUCUUUCGACGAGUCGAGUUGUUUGGGAAUGCAGCUCAAAAUGGGUGGUAAAUUUCAUCUAAAGCUAAAUAUUGGCCAGAGACCGAUAGCGCACAAGUAGAGUGAUCGAAAGAUGAAAAGCACUUUGGAAAGAGAGUUAAACAGUACGUGAAAUUGUUGAAAGGGAAGCGCUUGCAAUCAGACUUGCGCCUAGUUGAUCAUCCGGGCUUCUGCCCGGUGCACUCGAUUAGGCUCAGGCCAGCAUCGGUUUGGGUGGUUGGAUAAAGGCUUGGGGAACGUAGCCUCCUUCGGGGGGUGUUAUAGCCCCAGGUGCAAUGCAGCCUACCUGGACCGAGGACCGCGCUUCGGCUAGGAUGCUGGCGUAAUGGUUGUAAGCGACCCGUCUUGAAACACGGACCAAGGAGUCUAACAUUUAUGCGAGUGUUUGGGUGUUAAACCCAUACGCGUAAUGAAAGUGAACGGAGGUAAGAACCCUUAA